GUCAAGGCUGUGGCAGCCUUAAUGUAGUCUUAUAGAUGGAUGGUAGAAGGAUGGAAAGAAUAUUAAACACAAAUACCCAAGUAAAUAUAGAAAAUACAAUAUAAAAAUCUUUCAGAAGUCCAGUAGUGGUUAAGAAAUGUGUACCCGGUGUUGAAUACACAGCCAUGAGGUGAAAUUCAAGUCUUUUUCUCUUGAGGCUGUAUUUGACUAAAUUUAGAGCUGUCUGUUGUUAGAUCUGUGCUCACUUUCACUCUUUUCCAGGACUGUUGGUUCAGAUGUCCAGAACUCAUGGUUAACUUCCAACUCUCUGACCCCAGUGCAGACCCCUCCCCCACUCCCCGCCCCGAGGAACAGCCGGCACCACAGAGAAGCGCUUUGCUGGCUAGAGAGGCCGGCCAGCCCCAACCAGCUGACAUCCCACGCUUCCUACCCACCCCACUACAGGUUCUCAGCCUCAGGAGCAUGGCUUGAGCCAGUGACGCUUCAUUCUUAAAAGAAGCCUGGCUGUUUCUCCUGGAUUGGGCCACCACUGCUGAUUCAUAUUUGGUAACCUGACACUACUGAAGUAGACUGCUGGUAUCCUGACAAAUGGGGAUUGGAAUCGCCCCCAAAGAACGACUUCAAACAGGAGGAUUGUGCAAGGAUUUUGGAAAAGCCAUUGAGCACUCAAGAGCUCAAUGAACCUGGGAGCCUGAAAGAUGACAAUGUUGCAAGUGAUGACAAUGGAGGCCUGGCUUGUGAAGUUCCAGAAGUAAGUACAGUAGGCAUAACGUUAUUGUGCGCCAUGUAGAAGUUAUCCUUGCAUUAUUCAAAUGCUGAUUUCUGUGCCCCCAUAUUGGAUUAUAGUCCUUACUCUGAGUAUCUCUUGCCUCAACAUUGUAUAGGCAUUGCUCUCCACUUGUUCUCUGAUUGGUCAAUGACAAAGAUGAUCAGUCAAUGACUGAGCAGGGGAGAGAACAGGGUUAGACUUCUUCCAGGAUGGGGAGGAGGGAAGGAGAGAGAGAGUAGGGAUUCGGUAAGGGAAGAGAGUCAAGGAGACAUAAUGAGAAAACACUGGGAGCCCAGAGAGCCAGAUUGGUACUAAAAUGCAGGCAUCACUGGGAUUUUGACUGGGAGGUAGUCAGAUGAGCUGAGAGGAUUAAAAUAGAGCAAUAUUGCCUGGUUGUUGUGCCCUUAAAGCUUGUUAUAUAGAUAUAAUAGUCCAGUCUCAAUUAUUUGGGAGCUAGCUGGGUUAAGAGGAAAACUGCAACAAACAUUUAUACAUUGCCACUAACAGAGUAUCUUAAAAACUUUAUUGAGAUCAUUCAAUACUUUGGAUUAAGAAUCUGGGCAGCUAGGGUUGAAGAAUCAGCUGUGAUAGAAGGGACCAGAACCACUGAAGUGAAACCUUUGCUUUACUUGGACAAACAAUGCUGGUUAACUAGAGCUGAGACUUUACAAGUGCUUAAGAGACGAGACCAGCAUUACUGAGGUAAAUUUUUCUGGGGAUAUUUCCUCAGAGUCAGCGCACAGAAGCUCUGGUCCAGGAAAGGUCAAGACCGCAUCUUGUUCUGCAGACAAACUUGGUAAUGUAUAGAGUUACCCAGACAGUACUGGUUUUGAAGGCAGGAAGGGGGUCAGGAUGAGCAGCUGAGCCUUGGCACUGUGAGAGGCCAGGAGAGGCCAUUGGUGAAGGUGUGGCUCAGCCGAAGUAGAAGCA